rnacentral:rRNA from 1 species
AUACGGAGGGUGCAAGCGUUACUCGGAAUCACUGGGCGUAAAGCGCGCGCAGGCGGCCCGAUAAGUUGGAUGUGAAAGCCUACGGCUCAACCGUAGAACUGCAUCCAAAACUGUCGGGCGAGAGUCUGGGAGGGGAAGAUGGAAUUAGUUGUGUAGGGGUAAAAUCCGUAGAGAUAACUAGGAAUACCAAAAGCGAAGGCGAUCUUCUGGAACAGUACUGACGCUGAGGCGCGAAAGCGUGGGGAGCAAACAGGAUUAGAAACCCUAGUAGUCC